UACGUAGGGGGCAAGCGUUGUCCGGAAUUAUUGGGCGUAAAGGGCGCGUAGGCGGCCGAAUAAGUCUGAUGUGAAAUCCCUCGGCUCAACCGGGGAACUGCAUUUGAAACUGUUCGGCUCGAGUCCGGGAGAGGGUAGUGGAAUUCCCAGUGUAGCGGUGAAAUGCGUAGAUAUUGGGAGGAACACCGGUGGCGAAGGCGGCUACCUGGACCGGUACUGACGCUGAGGCGCGAAAGCUAGGGUAGCAAACAGG
rnacentral:rRNA from 1 species